AAAAUAUUGACUAGAUUUGAUCGCAUGGCGGAAAGAAAAAAAAAAACAGAGUUUUUACCUGUUCUUCGUGCAUCCGUGCCUUCAAACUCAAAAUUGAUAUGUAUUCCUCCAAGAUAAUCACAAAUUAUGAACAAAAAAUUCUGAGCAACACUCUUACUAUCACUCAGCCUGAAAUUUUACAAAAAAUGAAGCUUUAUUUCA
rnacentral:lncRNA from 1 species